rnacentral:lncRNA from 1 species
UAUAAGUGUGUGUUCUUAUAGAUCUCUAUUUCUAUGUGUGUGUUCUAAUAUAUCUCUAGCUCUAUGUGUUCUUAAACAUCUCUUCAUCUAUGUGUUCUUAUACUUCUUGAUCUUUACUUGUUCUUAUACAUCAAUUUUUCUAUGUGUUCUUAUACAUCUCUGUAUUAAUCAUCCAUACAAAUAAUGUUUCCCAAAUAAUUUACAUGUAAACCUCACAGACACAAUAUAUGUUUUUAUGCGUCUGUCAUGGUUAGUUUUCAUUAUCAUACAACCCUCAUCUAUACAUCACAUAUAUAAGGUUUAAUAGUUAUUUCCAGUAUGUGUCUGUUUAAUGCAUUUCUUCUGAAAAUGUUUAUGAUGUUUGUCGCAAGUAUGCGUUCUCUGCAAGUCUGAAUUCAUGACAUUAAGUACGAAAUCAGAUUUACCUUGAUUUGACUAGUACACAAAUGCAUGUGUUCUCAUGUAUGUGUUAUGCUUUAUCCGCAGUAUGUAUUCUCAUGUGUCUCUUUAAGUUACCUUACUGACUAAACCGUUUACCACAUACGUCACAGUCAUGAGGGUUAUCACCUGCAUGUGUUUUGAAAUGACUUUGUAAAUGACUAGGUUGACUAAACCGUUCAUCACAUUCAUCACAUUGAUAAGGUUUAUCACCUGUGUGUGUUCUCAUGUGACUCUGUAAAUUACAUUGCUCACUAAAUACUUU